rnacentral:rRNA from 1 species
CCUACGGGUGGCAGCAGUGGGGAAUAUUGCGCAAUGGACGAAAGUCUGACGCAGCGACGCCGCGUGGGGGAUGAAGGUUUUCGGAUCGUAAACCUCUGUCAGGAGGGAAGAAAGCGCAUGGCGCCAAUCAGCCAUGCGUUGACGGUACCUCCAAAGGAAGCGCCGGCUAACUCCGUGCCAGCAGCCGCGGUAAUACGGAGGGCGCGAGCGUUAAUCGGAAUUACUGGGCGUAAAGCGCGCGUAGGCUGUUGUGUAAGUUGGGGGUGAAAUCCCACGGCUCAACCGUGGAACAGCCCUUGAUACUGCGCGACUUGAAUCCGGGAGAGGGUGGCGGAAUUCCAGGUGUAGGAGUGAAAUCCGUAGAUAUCUGGAGGAACAUCAGUGGCGAAGGCAGCUUACCAAGCUACUUCUGACGUUGAGGCACGAAAGCGUGGGGAGCAAACAGGAUUAGAUACCCGUGUAGUC